UACGGCUAUAUCACGUUGAAGCACUAGUUCGCGUACGAUCACCAAACUUAAGCAAUGUCAAGCCUGGCCAGUACUUAGAUGGGUGACCCGUUUGGAAUACU